UACACCACAGCGAACAAAAUUGCUGGUUUGUAAAACCUUGGAAGAGGCUUUAAGGAAAAUCCAGGAGCUGGAAAUGCAAGAUAAUUUGUGCCUGACUCUAGUACGAAGAAUUUUGGGAAGACGAUUUGGCUUAAAAAGACCUGUAGCAGUUAACAAGCUAUUAGAUGCACAAUAGCACAAAAUGACCACCACCACUAUCACCCUAAAGUGUGUGCUUGGUGUCUGUCUACACGUGCUUGCUUCUAGAAUGUUGAAGAACAAACUGUGUUGAAACGCCAACUGGAGUUGGUCAUGGACCUUUGCCGCCCUUCAUCCAGAGCCUUCCACAGAGAUGGCAGAUAUAUCGCUGCCUGGACCAACAGUUGACCAUGCCGUUGAGUCCAUGAUAUCAGUAGCAGCCAUGAAAACAUCUACAGAAUUACAUCUGCGGCCGUGGCUAUUAAUGGAUACAUUCUGCACCACUUCCAUGUGCUGUCAGUUUGAAACGUCUCUACUCUGACAGAAGGAAGGGAAUGAAUACCCAGGAUUGUUCCUCAGGAAAAUCUCUUCAACAGGCUGUUGUCAGUUUGCAUGCUCUUUGGAUGGGAUUACCCUACCUUGGCUUGCAGAGAAUCUGUGAUAUAAAAGACCUCUUUUGUGCUGCAUUGUGUCAUUGAUUUAUUGUAUUUUAUAUGUAUUAUGCCACUAUUGUAAAAACAAAUGGGCAUAUGUUUUAGCGUAUGUUUUCAAACAGACACAUUUAUAUUUCAAACAGACACAUUUAUAUUUUGGAAUAAUUUGAAAAUACAUUUUGUAGGUUGACUUCAAUCCAUGAAACAUUAAUGGUAGGUUAUAUUUGACCAGAACAUGACAAGUAUUGUUUUCGGAGUUUUUUGGUCGAAGGUGAAGGUAAUGGCUAACAGUGGUUAUUCUGCACAAUGAACCUUGAAUUCUUUGACCUAGGACCAUUAAUAUUUAGUGAUUGAUAUAUCAGUCCAACUCAUAUGUGAAAGGGACAUGAUGAAAUUGAGCAAGAGCUUAUUAGCAUUGCAAAUUAUUAUUUGUUCAUUUUUAGCUCGACUAUUCGAAGAAUAGGUGGGCUAUACUAUCAUUAACAAUUCUGCGUUAAAGUUUUCAUUUUAUGUAAUAAAAUCAAGAGUUUUUAUCCAAUGGUAAUCAAACUUGGUCAGACUAUUUGUCGGCAUGUUAUCUUAAAGAUGUAUGAAUAUGGGUCAUCCCUGGUCAAAUUCUAGGUCACUAGGUCACAUCUUAGAGAAAAUAUUUCCAUGUCAUAAAUUCAACAUUUUUUUCAUAUCUUUAUGAAACUUGGUCAGAAUAUUUGUCUGCAUACUAUCUUGAAAGUUUUUUAAUAUGGGUCAUCCCGGGUCAAAUUCUAGGUCACUAGGUCAAAUCUUAGGAAAAUCAUUCCACAUCAUAAAUUGAACAAUUUUUGUCAAAUCUUUAUGAAACUUGGUCAGAAUAUUUGUCUGCAUAAUAUCUUAAAAGUUCUAUAAUAUGGGUCAUCCCCGGUCAAAACCUAGGUCACAAGGUCAAAUUUUAGAAGAAAGAAUCCCACAGUCAUAAAAAUUCAUUAAUUUUAGUCAAAUCUUUUUUUAAACUUGGUCAGAAUAUUUGUCUACAUGUUGUCUUAAUCAUUUGUGAAUAUAGGUCACCUCAGAUCAAAAACUAGGUCACUAGGUCAAAUCUUAGGAAACACUUUCCUGAUGUCAUAAAAAAAAUCCAUGCUUACCAAAGCUAUCCAUAUCAGUUAAUAACUAAAUUCAAUUGUUAUUUUAUAAACACACAUCCCAAUCAUGAAUUUCAGAUCUAACCAUAUUUUUCAAAAAUUUAAAUUUUAAUUAACUUUAAAAAUAUUUGGAAAAGCUGAUGUAUUUAUAAAAUGUUCGUUUUUCCUCACACAAAUGGAAUAGUUUCUGUUGAUCAGGUUAUUUGUAUGAAUGAUAUCUCUGAUAAAUAUAAAUAUGGGUCUUUUUGGUUAAAAAUACUAGGUCAUUAGCUCAAAUCCUAGGUUUGCAAAAUUGCAUUGUCAAAUAAAAAAUCAAGCUUUAUGCGGCGUUGCCGCGUUGGCGUCUUGUUAUUUUUUUUAUUUUGACAGGCACAUUUUUAUAAUCUUAACCAAAUCAAACCUUGUUUUGUCACAUUGUGAUUCUUAUUCACUUUUUUUAUUUGAUUGUUUUAUUGCUUUUUACAGGCACAUCACACUAUUAUUGUAUUUACGUCCAAUUCCAAGAGGCGUAGUAGAGCGCACUGUUUUACGACAGCUCUUUUUAACCUGUAAAGUGAAACCUGGUUAUAAAAAUGACAUGACUGUGUCAUUGUGUUGGCAGGCCAGGAGGAGGGCAGCAUCAAAUACAUCUACAAACUUAGUAUACAAAGUAUUAUAGAAUUGCUUUCGGGGCCCAUAGGAUCAAGGUCACUAAAACAAAAAAAUAUUGAAACUUAAUCGCACAACAAAGGCUUAAUUAAUUAGGUUUGUCUGUCAAUCAUUAAAAACUUGUUGUUUUUUUUGCAUUGCAGCAUUUCAUGCUUAAUUUUUAUUUUGUCUCUUUAUUGCAUAUUACCUUUAUCAUUAUUGUAUUCAUUUCUAAGACAAAGCAGCAUAUAGUUGAGGGCACUGCCCCAUGACAGCUCUUGUAUAUCCUAAAAAGAAUACAAUAGUGAUAUACCCUGAUAUAGGUAGUUUUGGUACAUUAUCACGGUUUUAAUUUUAGCUUUACUGGCCAAAGAUCAGAAUAUCUGAUGUGAUGGUAAUGUGUACGUAGUAUGUGCUUCCUAGCGCCUGUAAACAAUUGCUUGUGAACACCAUACAGUCUUUAGUUAUGAUUGUAUCUCAAUAAAACAGUAUUUAGAUAUCCAAUAGCUCGGUUCCUUUCGAAAACCAGUCAGAUCUGCCCAUGCAUGCCUAGAUUAUAGGCCUUGAACGUCUGCGACUGUAAACAAUUGCUUGUGAACAUGGUACAGUCUUCAGUUUUAAUUGUAUAUAGAUGAAACUUGUACAGUAUUAAGAUAUCAAUUAGAGCUUGGUUCCUUUCGAAAACCAGAUCUGCCCAUGCAUACCUUAAUUAUGGGCCUCAAAAGUAAAAAAAAAUGCUAUUUUUAGCCAAGUCUACAUGAGCGAAGUCUAUUUUUAGACAAGUUUACAUGUAAAGUCACAAAUUCAUGUGAAAAAUUGUUCAAAUUAGGCCCCUGGGGUCAUUAUUGGCCACGCCACUGGGUUCACCGGUUUGGUAUACUAAAUUGGGAAAUGUUUGAAAAUCUUUAUGUCUGAAACAACUAUGCAGACCCUUGUUAUUUUGAAUAAGGAUUAUUUUAUUGGUCUGCUACCAUGGUUGUUCAAAUUAUGCCCCUAGGGUCAAAACUGGCACUGCCCCCAGGGGUCACAAGUUUUUUAAGAAAUAUUUUCAAAAUCUUCUUGUUUCAAACCACAAGGCUCAUAUCUUUGAUAUUUGUUGUGGAGCAUUAUAUGUAGACCGUCUAGCAAAACAGUUGAAAUUAUGUGCCCUGGGCCGGGGCCACCAUCCAUUUUGUCCUUUUAAAGCUACAAAAAUGAAAAUUUGACCAAUAGUACAGUUUUGUAGCAAAUUUUAUUCUCCUCAGAUGACCUUUACUUGGCACAUAUUAGAAUACUAGUAGUUCAUGCAACUAAUCUGCUUACAACACUUUCUGUUCUCAGAUGUUAAAUGUGCAACGUUUUAAGCUAACUCAAACACAAAACGUGAACAAUAUGUUUGUUGGCUAUUACUCAUACAUACAUGCUCUGGAUCAAAAAUAACCACAUGAGCCAUGCCACUAGAGCAUAGGCACUCAUGGGCCUCUUGUUUUUUUUAGAAAAAAAGCAUACUGACCAACCCUAUUUAUUUUAGAAGUUAGCUGAAACUAAGAACUUUUUUUACCUUACUUUUAUAUUAGAUUGUGUAUUGCUAAGAUUUUUGCUUAAAGCUCCAUUUAAGGUAACUGUUCAUCUCAAAUGUAACAGCUUUUGCCUUCAAACUUUUAAAAUUUCAUUGAACCAGUGGGUUCAUCAUGAUGCACAUCUGUAAAUGUUUCUCCCUAAUAUGGGCUUUUAUGUAUGCAAACAGAACAUUGAACAAUUGGCUUUCUGUGUAAAGUAAACCCUGUCCAGAACAUUUGUCAAAUUGCUGUGUCAGAACUUGUUUGAAUGGAUUUAUUUUAUUUU